AGAAAGAGAUCUUAGGGUCAUUGUGGUUAGUUCCCUGAAAAUAUCCGCUCAAUGCGCAGCGGCAGUCAAAAAAGCGAACAGAAUGUUAGGAACCAUUAGGAAAGGGAUAGAUAAUAAGACCAAAAAUAUCACUGCAUAAAUCCAUGGGACACCCACACCUUGAUUACUUCAUGCAGUUCUGGUCACCCCAUCUCAAAAAAGAUAUAUUCUAACUGGAAAAGAUACAGAGAAGGGCAACAAAAAUGACGAGGGGCUGGAACAGCUUCCAUCCAA